GAUGAACGCUGGCUACAGGCUUAACACAUGCAAGUCGAGGGGAAACGCCGGGGAAGCUUGCUUCCCCGGGCGUCGACCGGCGCACGGGUGAGUAACGCGUAUCCAACCUGCCUCUGACUGAGGGAUAACCCGUCGAAAGUCGGCCUAAUACCUCAUGGUAUCGUCUGCGGGCAUCCAACGACGAUUAAAGAUUUCAUCGGUCAGGGAUGGGGAUGCGUCUGAUUAGCUUGUUGGCGGGGUAACGGCCCACCAAGGCUACGAUCAGUAGGGGUUCUGAGAGGAAGGUCCCCCACAUUGGAACUGAGACACGGUCCAAACUCCUACGGGAGGCAGCAGUGAGGAAUAUUGGUCAAUGGGCGAGAGCCUGAACCAGCCAAGUAGCGUGCAGGAAGACGGCCCUAUGGGUUGUAAACUGCUUUUAUGCGGGGAUAAAGUGAGGGACGGGUCCCUCAUUGCAGGUACCGCAUGAAUAAGAACCGGCUAAUUCCGUG
rnacentral:rRNA from 1 species